rnacentral:lncRNA from 1 species
CGACCAGCUUGUGACUUGGCUCCUUAGGAAGAGGUACAGAUCGAGAGUCAUCCUUUUUCCUCACAUCAGUUGAUUGGCGAGGUGGAGGCCCAAUCGAUGGAGCCCGAGAAGUGCUUCGUGGACCUCAGGGAGUGUCACUUUUUCUUGAGGUAGUAAGAGAAGGAAUUGCUGAUGUAGAUCAAAAAGAUGCCUGGGCAGGAGGAGGAUCUGCCCCUUUGACUCUCUUCGAUACAGGGGCGAUAGCAGGUGGCUGUGGGUCAUCCUUUCUCUUCUUUUCCUCCAAUCUAUUCAGAUUGAAACUCAUUUCUGCACCAAAAAGUUAUAUAUUUAGAGAAAAUAUGACAUAAAGGAAAAAAAGAAAUGUAAAAAAAAAAUACAUCGAUCUUACCCUGAAGAGAUUACAGGCUGAUGCCGG